CAGCCACAUCACAUUGAAACACCGGUUCCACUAUGAUCACCAAAGUUAAGCAACAUCAAGCCUGGUCAGUACCUAGAUGGGUGACUGCUUGGGAAUACCAGGUGCUGUAAG